CACCGCGGUUAUACGAGAGGCUCAAAUUGACACUCUUUCGGCGUAAAGCGUGAUUAGAGACCACAAUUCACUAAAGCCAAACACCUCCUAAGCUGUCAUACGCAACCAGAGGCAGGAAGCCCCCCAACGAAAGUAGCUUUAAUAAACAUCUUGAACUCACGACAGUUAAGAAA
rnacentral:rRNA from 1 species